rnacentral:rRNA from 1 species
UGGGGAAUAUUGCGCAAUGGGCGAAAGCCUGACGCAGCAACGCCGCGUGAGGGAUGAAGUACGUCGAGAUGUAAACCUCUUUCAGCAGGGACGAAGCGAAAGUGACGGUACCUGCAGAAGAAGCGCCGGCUAACUACGUGCCAGCAGCCGCGGUAAUACGUAGGGCGCAAGCGUUGUCCGGAUUUAUUGGGCGUAAAGGGCUCGUAGGCGGUCUGUCACGUCGGAUGUGAAAACUCAGUGCUUAACACUGGGCCUGCAUUCGAUACGGGCAGACUAGAGUUCGGUAGGGGAGACUGGAACUCCUGGUGUAGCGGUGGAAUGCGCAGAUAUCAGGAAGAACACCGAUGGCGAAGGCAGGUCUCUGGGCCGAUACUGACGCUGAGGAGCGAAAGCGUGGGGA